UAAGAGAAGAAACCAGGCUUUGA
rnacentral:piRNA from 1 species